rnacentral:rRNA from 1 species
AUCUACGGCCAUGCCACCCUGAACAAGCCUGAUCCCAUCUGAUCUUGGAAGCUAAGCAGGUUCGGGCCUGGUUAGUACUUGGAUGGGAGACCACCUAGGAAGACCAGGUGCUGUAGGCA